GAUGAACGCUGGCGGCGUGCCUAAUACAUGCAAGUCGAGCGAACAGACGAGGAGCUUGCUCCUCUGACGUUAGCGGCGGACGGGUGAGUAACACGUGGAUAACCUACCUAUAAGACUGGGAUAACUUCGGGAAACCGGAGCUAAUACCGGAUAACAUGUUAAACCGCAUGGUUCAACAGUGAAAGACGGUUUUGCUGUCACUUAUAGAUGGAUCCGCGUCGCAUUAGCUAGUUGGUAAGGUAACGGCUUACCAAGGCAACGAUGCGUAGCCGACCUGAGAGGGUGAUCGGCCACACUGGAACUGAGACACGGUCCAGACUCCUACGGGAGGCAGCAGUAGGGAAUCUUCCGCAAUGGGCGAAAGCCUGACGGAGCAACGCCGCGUGAGUGAAGAAGGUCUUCGGAUCGUAAAACUCUGUUAUUAGGGAAGAACAAAUGUGUAAGUAACUAUGCACGUCUUGACGGUACCUAAUCAGAAAGCCACGGCUAACUACGUG
rnacentral:rRNA from 1 species